UCUCUUGGUUCUGGCAUCGAUGAAGAACGCAGCGAAAUGCGAUAAGUAAUGUGAAUUGCAGAAUUCAGUGAAUCAUCGAAUCUUUGAACGCACAUUGCGCCCAUUAGUACUCUAGUGGGCAUGCCUGUUCGAGCGUCAUUACGACCCUUAAGCCUAGCUUAGUAUUGGGAACCUACGUGCGGCAGCUACCCUGUAGCUACCCUGUAGCUCCUUAAAGACAACGGCGGAGACGUGGAGUCCUCUGAGCUUAGUAAACUUUUUCUAGCUUCUGAAGGCGCCGCGGCCCCUGCCGUAAAACCCCCCCAACUCUUUAGUGGUUGACCUCGGAUCAGGUAGGAAUACCCGCUGAACUUAAGCAUAUCAAUAAGCGGAGGAAAAGAAACCAACAGGGAUUGCCUUAGUAACGGCGAGUGAAGCGGCAACAGCUCAAAUUUGAAAGCUGGCCUUCGGGUCCGCGUUGUAAUUUGUAGAGGAUGCUUUUGGUUAGGUGCCUUACGAGUUCCCUGGAACGGGACGCCUUAGAGGGUGAGAGCCCCGUACGUUUGGUUACCGAGCCUCUGUAAAGCUCCUUCGACGAGUCGAGUAGUUUGGGAAUGCUGCUCUAAAUGGGAGGUAAAUUUCUUCUAAAGCUAAAUACCGGCCAGAGACCGAUAGCGCACAAGUAGAGUGAUCGAAAGAUGAAAAGCACUUUGAAAAGAGGGUUAAAUAGCACGUGAAAUUGUUGAAAGGGAAGCGUUUAUGACCAGACUUUUUCCUGGCGGAUCAUCCGGUGUUCUCACCGGUGCACUUCGCCAGGUUUAGGCCAGCAUCGGUUUUCGCCGGGGGAUAAAAGCAGUGGUAAUGUGG
rnacentral:rRNA from 1 species